CAUGUUCAAUUGGCAGAGAUGACGAGGACUUGCCCUGACUUUAGUCGGUGCUCAGAAGUUUCUCCAAGGUCCAUUUGUGAGCUGCCUUGUGAAAUCCAGUUUCAUCAGGAACCCUGGGAAGUCAGUGUGUUCUGAAUUUUAAAGGUGCGAUAACAAGAAUAUAUUUCCUCUGAAUCCAGAAGUCAGCCUGGGUCCUUGAGGUGACCUUGUGGUCUACUUUCUAGAGUCUAACUGCAGGAUGGCUCUACUCAGCAUGCGGUUACAUCAUGGAGUUCUUAGUACCGCAUCGGUCCUCCUCCACGGCAUCUGCCUCUGUGCUGCUUCCAGCCCGGUCUUCCCGUCCGUCUGCAGUGGCUUGCUUCUCAUCCAUGCCUUUCCAGACCUCUCCCAACUCACCCUUUGUUUUGUUCUUUUAUCUACCCUUGUCAUCCAGAGCACUUAGCUGCCGGUUCUGCUUUUAUAAAUAUUUUUAAAAAAAUAAACCCCUUCAUU
rnacentral:lncRNA from 1 species